AGGGAAAGGCGAAAAGAACCCCGGCGAGGGGAGUGAAAAAGAACCUGAAACCGUGUACGUACAAGCAGUAGGAGCCCCACCACCAAAGCGUUUCGCUUUGCGUGGUGCGCAAAAUGCGUAACGACAGCAUGAUGGACGGUUAACGGAGCGUCAGCGACGUUCAACCUCAAAAAUCAGGCAGUGGAGCGUUUUGGGGUGGGGUGACUGCGUACCUUUUGUAUAAUGGGUCAGCGACUUAUAUUCUGUAGCAAGGUUAACCGAAUAGGGGAGCCGCA
rnacentral:rRNA from 1 species